UAUAUACUCAGCCAUAUUUGACUUCCUUGUAAAAAAAAUUGUAAUCUAAUCAAACGAAGUCAAUAUAACUAUUUUCCAAAUGGCUCAAUUGCCUGUUUCUUCAUCUACAAGAGGUAAACAUGUAUUCGCACCGUAUGCUACUGGUUUCAAAUGUGAUGAAAUUACACUUAAUUGGGGAACCGAAAAUGACCUGGAAAAUGGCCAUUGUUAUGAAAUAUUGUAUAAAGAACAAGGCAAGGGAAAAUUUAUUGCAUACAAGUCAGAGGAAUCAUGUUACCUGAAGAAAAUUUUUGUUGGAAAUUUAAAACCAAACACAGCUUAUGUAUUCAAAGUUAGGAUUGUAAACGAAGAAACCGGUGAGGAAGGCCCAUAUAGUAAAUUGUCUGAUGUUUUGAAGACUUCAGCAUCAAGCAUAGAAAAAAUAAUGGAAUGUUCAUCAAUAAUUAAGGAGGAACCUAUCAUGUUGUAUCGAUUGCCAAUAGAAGAAAGUAAAUACGCCAGAAAUGAUCGUUGGCACACUAGAAAAUUUAC